rnacentral:lncRNA from 1 species
UUUUUUUUACUUAUCUAUUUAUUUGUUUUUGUUUGUUUUCAGGCCAAGUGGCAAGAAGCAGCAGAAAGUGUUUCUAGACUUCAGGAAGAGCUUCAGAUGAAGUCAGCCUCCGAGCCUCAUCAGGAGAGAUAAAUCGAAAAAAAAAAGAAAUAUGAAGACAUCCAAAGAAGAAGAAGAAGAAGAAAAUGAAAGGAAGAAAGAGCGAAA